rnacentral:rRNA from 1 species
GUGGGGAAUAUUGGACAAUGGGCGAAAGCCUGAUCCAGCCAUGCCGCGUGUGUGAAGAAGGUCUUCGGAUUGUAAAGCACUUUAAGUUGGGAGGAAGGGUAGUAACCUAAUACGUUGCUACUUUGACGUUACCGACAGAAUAAGCACCGGCUAACUUCGUGCCAGCAGCCGCGGUAAUACGAAGGGUGCAAGCGUUAAUCGGAAUUACUGGGCGUAAAGCGCGCGUAGGUGGUUUUGUAAGUUGGAGGUGAAAUCCCCGGGCUCAACCUGGGAACUGCCUCCAAAACUGCAUGACUAGAGUACGGUAGAGGGUAGUGGAAUUUCCUGGGUAGCGGUGAAAUGCGUAGAUAUAGGAAGGAACACCAGUGGCGAAGGCGACUACCUGGACUGAUACUGACACUGAGGUGCGAAAGCGUGGGGAGCAAACAGGAUUAGAUACCCUAGUAGUCC